rnacentral:rRNA from 1 species
GACAGAGGGUGCGAACGUUGUUCGGAAUUACUGGGCGUAAAGCGCAUGUAGGCGGCAGCGCAAGUCGGGCGUGAAAUCCCACGGCUCAACCGUGGAAGUGCACUCGAAACUGCGCAGCUAGAGUCCUGGAGAGGAAGGUGGAAUGCUUGGUGUAGAGGUGAAAUGCGCAGAUAUCAGGAGGAACACCGGUGGCGAAGGCGGUUCUCUGGGCAUGACCUGACGCUGAGGAGCGAAAGUGUGGGGAGCGAACAGG